rnacentral:rRNA from 1 species
GUCUGCUGGAGGUAUCGGAAGUGCGAAUGCUGACAUGAGUAACGAUAAUGCGGGUGAAAAACCCGCACGCCGAAAGCCCAAGGUUUCCUUGCGCAACGUUAAUCGGCGCAGGGUGAGUCGGCCCCUAAGGCGAGGACGAAAGUCGUAGUCGAUGGGAAGCAGGUUAAUAUUCCUGCACCUCGCGUAAGUGCGAUGGAGGGACGGAGAAGGUUAGGUGUACCAGGCGUUGGUUGUCC